rnacentral:rRNA from 1 species
GGUUAAGCGACUAAGCGUACACGGUGGAUGCCCUGGCAGUCAGAGGCGAUGAAGGACGUGCUAAUCUGCGAUAAGCGUCGGUAAGGUGAUAUGAACCGUUAUAACCGGCGAUUUCCGAAUGGGGAAACCCAGUGUGUUUCGACACACUAUCAUUAACUGAAUCCAUAGGUUAAUGAGGCGAACCGGGGGAACUGAAACAUCUAAGUACCCCGAGGAAAAGAAAUCAACCGAGAUUCCCCCAGUAGCGGCGAGCGAACGGGGAGCAGCCCAGAGUCUGAAUCAGUGUGUGUGUUAGUGGAAGCGUCUGGAAAGGCGCGCGAUACAGGGUGACAGCCCCGUACACAAAAAUGCACAUAUUGUGAGCUCGAUGAGUAGGGCGGGACACGUGGUAUCCUGUCUGAAUAUGGGGGGACCAUCCUCCAAGGCUAAAUACUCCUGACUGACCGAUAGUGAACCAGUACCGUGAGGGAAAGGCGAAAAGAACCCCGGCGAGGGGAGUGAAAAAGAACCUGAAACCGUGUACGUACAAGCAGUGGGAGCACGCUUAGGCGUGUGACUGCGUACCUUUUGUAUAAUGGGUCAGCGACUUAUAUUCUGUAGCAAGGUUAACCGAAUAGGGGAGCCGAAGGGAAACCGAGUCUUAACUGGGCGUUAAGUUGCAGGGUAUAGACCCGAAACCCGGUGAUCUAGCCAUGGGCAGGUUGAAGGUUGGGUAACACUAACUGGAGGACCGAACCGACUAAUGUUGAAAAAUUAGCGGAUGACUUGUGGCUGGGGGUGAAAGGCCAAUCAAACCGGGAGAUAGCUGGUUCUCCCCGAAAGCUAUUUAGGUAGCGCCUCGUGAAUUCAUCUCCGGGGGUAGAGCACUGUUUCGGCAAGGGGGUCAUCCCGACUUACCAACCCGAUGCAAACUGCGAAUACCGGAGAAUGUUAUCACGGGAGACACACGGCGGGUGCUAACGUCCGUCGUGAAGAGGGAAACAACCCAGACCGCCAGCUAAGGUCCCAAAGUCAUGGUUAAGUGGGAAACGAUGUGGGAAGGCCCAGACAGCCAGGAUGUUGGCUUAGAAGCAGCCAUCAUUUAAAGAAAGCGUAAUAGCUCACUGGUCGAGUCGGCCUGCGCGGAAGAUGUAACGGGGCUAAACCAUGCACCGAAGCUGCGGCAGCGACGCUUAUGCGUUGUUGGGUAGGGGAGCGUUCUGUAAGCCUGUGAAGGUGUGCUGUGAGGCAUGCUGGAGGUAUCAGAAGUGCGAAUGCUGACAUAAGUAACGAUAAAGCGGGUGAAAAGCCCGCUCGCCGGAAGACCAAGGGUUCCUGUCCAACGUUAAUCGGGGCAGGGUGAGUCGACCCCUAAGGCGAGGCCGAAAGGCGUAGUCGAUGGGAAACAGGUUAAUAUUCCUGUACUUGGUGUUACUGCGAAGGGGGGACGGAGAAGGCUAUGUUGGCCGGGCGACGGUUGUCCCGGUUUAAGCGUGUAGGCUGGUUUUCCAGGCAAAUCCGGAAAAUCAAGGCUGAGGCGUGAUGACGAGGCACUACGGUGCUGAAGCAACAAAUGCCCUGCUUCCAGGAAAAGCCUCUAAGCAUCAGGUAACAUCAAAUCGUACCCCAAACCGACACAGGUGGUCAGGUAGAGAAUACCAAGGCGCUUGAGAGAACUCGGGUGAAGGAACUAGGCAAAAUGGUGCCGUAACUUCGGGAGAAGGCACGCUGAUAUGUAGGUGAAGUCCCUUGCGGAUGGAGCUGAAAUCAGUCGAAGAUACCAGCUGGCUGCAACUGUUUAUUAAAAACACAGCACUGUGCAAACACGAAAGUGGACGUAUACGGUGUGACGCCUGCCCGGUGCCGGAAGGUUAAUUGAUGGGGUCAGCGCAAGCGAAGCUCUUGAUCGAAGCCCCGGUAAACGGCGGCCGUAACUAUAACGGUCCUAAGGUAGCGAAAUUCCUUGUCGGGUAAGUUCCGACCUGCACGAAUGGCGUAAUGAUGGCCAGGCUGUCUCCACCCGAGACUCAGUGAAAUUGAACUCGCUGUGAAGAUGCAGUGUACCCGCGGCAAGACGGAAAGACCCCGUGAACCUUUACUAUAGCUUGACACUGAACAUUGAGCCUUGAUGUGUAGGAUAGGUGGGAGGCUUGGAAGUGUGGACGCCAGUCUGCAUGGAGCCGACCUUGAAAUACCACCCUUUAAUGUUUGAUGUUCUAACGUUGACCCGUAAUCCGGGUUGCGGACAGUGUCUGGUGGGUAGUUUGACUGGGGCGGUCUCCUCCUAAAGAGUAACGGAGGAGCACGAAGGUUGGCUAAUCCUGGUCGGACAUCAGGAGGUUAGUGCAAUGGCAUAAGCCAGCUUGACUGCGAGCGUGACGGCGCGAGCAGGUGCGAAAGCAGGUCAUAGUGAUCCGGUGGUUCUGAAUGGAAGGGCCAUCGCUCAACGGAUAAAAGGUACUCCGGGGAUAACAGGCUGAUACCGCCCAAGAGUUCAUAUCGACGGCGGUGUUUGGCACCUCGAUGUCGGCUCAUCACAUCCUGGGGCUGAAGUAGGUCCCAAGGGUAUGGCUGUUCGCCAUUUAAAGUGGUACGCGAGCUGGGUUUAGAACGUCGUGAGACAGUUCGGUCCCUAUCUGCCGUGGGCGCUGGAGAACUGAGGGGGGCUGCUCCUAGUACGAGAGGACCGGAGUGGACGCAUCACUGGUGUUCGGGUUGUCAUGCCAAUGGCACUGCCCGGUAGCUAAAUGCGGAAGAGAUAAGUGCUGAAAGCAUCUAAGCACGAAACUUGCCCCGAGAUGAGUUCUCCCUGACUCCUUGAGAGUCCUGAAGGAACGUUGAAGACGACGACGUUGAUAGGCCGGGUGUGUAAGCGCAGCGAUGCGUUGAGCUAACCGGUACUAAUGAACCGUGAGGCUUAACCUU